GUAGUCCCAGCUACUCGGGAGGCUGAGGCAGGAGAAUGGCGUGAACCCGGGAGGUGGAGCUUGCGGUGAGUCCAGAUCACACCACUGCACUCCAGCCUGGGCGACAGACAGAGACUCCGUCUCAAAAAAAAAAAAAAAAAACAAACAAAAAAGACAAGGCUGGAUCCCAAGACAUAUUUUAUAAGAAAUUUACAGAUGAAGUAAUGGUGCAAUAGGUAAAAUACUAUCAAAACAAUCAUUUCCCUGAACCACAGCACCUGAGAAAGGAUGGAAGAGUAAGUGGGUUUGGAAAUGAUGGACUUAUCACCAAACCCUUGCAAAAACAAGUUCUUGAAGAAAGACCAUCAUGGUUCACUGUCCAACCCAAAAGUGAUUUACCAGAAAACCAACAAAAACACAUCACAGUGGGCCCACUCCUAAGUCACUCUGCCCAGUGGUUUUAACGCUUCAAAGAGUCAGUAAAGAAUGAAAGUUAAUUCUAGCUCUUGCCAAAGCCUAGGUGAAAAUUUACAGUAGCACGCUCACCACCCCCUGACGAUGUAUUAGACAUGUGUCUUUCCCCCUGCAAUAUAAGCUUCUUGAAAGCAGGUCUUUCUUUCAGGAGGGGCUGAGGAAGGCACGGCUCCCUUUACAACUCCAAACAGAAAGCCCAUUUUAUUUAGUCAGACCAGCAUCUCCUUUCCAGAGCAUUUUGCCAUUGAGGAAAGGUGGGACAAUGUGCAUUUCAGGCUCAAAUACACAUUAGCAGGAAAUGGGUUCCACCAUUCACUGGAUGUGACUGUCAACCAAGCAGGUGAUAAUCCUUUAAAAGCCUCUUUUUGUUCACCAAUGUCUCCCCAGUACCUGAAAACCUGGCACAAAGUAGGUGCUCUAUUUGUUGAAUGAAUGAACUUUAUGCAGGGUGGUUGUACAGGUGUACCUAACAUCAAUAACUUAAGAAGAAUGCGUGUGUGGAGUUCCGAGCUAAGGAAUCCUAGUGGCCAACCCUGAAAUCAAUUCCUUAUCUAUGGGGAACAUCUGAACCCCCAGCCCACAAGCACUUUAAGGCUGCCAGGUGGAGGCUGUUAGGGGGAGUAUGUUAAGUAAGAAUGCUGUGUAAACUGCAUGCUUUUUCCAAGCUUUCGGGAAGCAGUUGCUGUUCUGUCCAACCCACCACCACUGGACUGUCCCAUAUGUAAAUUUCCAAUAAACCUGAUGCUAUCCCUGUUGAAGUCAACAGAGGUCUAGCAAGACAGCUGUGUUCAUCGUGGCAGCAAAAGGACAAACAACAAGGUUACAUUUACUUACUACAUUAUUUCAUCGGGCUGCUAAGUUAGAGGAAAAGAAUGACCAUCACGAGCUAGUAAAGCUUUUAAUCAGAUUAGAAUUUUAUCAGGUACAAGUGGAACCGCACAGCCCUUACUGACCAGGGCCAGGCAUAAGGCCAGGUGCUUCCCAUGUGCCAUCUUAGCAGGCAUCCCAGGCGGGCACGCAGGAUCUUGUUUACAGAUGAGGAGGCAGAGGGAGGUGAAAAAACUUGCCCAAGAUUACCCACUAGGAGGCAGGUAUGUUUACCUAUUUGCUCGUCCUUCUUCCCUCUAUUUAUCCUGCCAAUAAACAAGAAUUUAAAGUUUGCUAUAAAAUAAUAAUGCUAAACAACAAACAAACAAACUUGGGCCAGGCAUAGUGGCUCAUGGCUAUAAUGCCAACACUUUGAGAGACUGAGGCAGGAGGAUGGCUUGAGGCCAGGUGUUUGAGACCAGCCUGCACAAAACAGUGUGAAACUUCAUCUCUAUAGAAAUAAAAAUAAAAAGAUUAGUCAGGUGUGGUAGUGAGCGCCUGCGGUCCCCCAGGAGUUCAAGGCUGUGGUGAGCUAUGAUUGUACCACUGCACUCGUGCUUGAGCAACAGAGCAAGACCGCAUCUCAAAAACACAAAAACAACACCUAUCCUCUUGCUUUGCUGCCAGAAAAGACAAAAAGCACAAAUAAACAAGCACCUGACAGCGUUAUAGGUGGAGACCGAGUUCUAUGAGUGCAGUAAAGUGGGGCACGGCACAGAGAUGGAGCUGUACUUUAGACAGGGUGUUCUGAAUCAGGAAUGGACUUACAAAACAUCUGCAGUCAGAAAUUCACAUACAGACUAUAGUAGAUCAAAAGCUCAUUUUAAACUAUCAAUGAGGAAAAAAGCAAUUCAUUUACAUAACAUUCUCUUUCCAACUCAAACAUCAGGUACAAAUUGCUUUCUUUUAGCAUAUGCCAGAAAUCUGUCAUUACACAAUAGCUUAGCAAGUGUGACACAAGAUACUGCCACUUUCUCUACACAAAGACCCACCCAAACACCAGCUUUGUUUAAAACAUUACCUCAGCACCACGAUGCCUCUCCUCAGUAGUUUCUGAGUCCAUGCUCAGAGUCCAUGAUGUGCUCAACAUUGGCUAACAAAACACAUUCUGUUCUUUGAGAACAAUUUUUUAAAAACUGGAACCAAUGGGGUGGAUCUGCUUCCAAAUAUUAGUCCAGCCAUAAAAUAUAUACAAGGUUAGAAUAAAUGCUUAACAAUAAUUAUUUUUAUGCUAGAAGCAGGAGUUGGUCCAUUUGUUUCUCUAAAGAGCCAGCCAGUAAGUAUUUUAGGCUUUGAGGGUCUUACUUGGAGUCCGUUGCAUAUUGUUGUUUUUAAAAUCCUUCAAAAAUAUAAAAACCAUUUUUAGCUGGGAGACCAAAUAAAAACAGGCCACAGCCAGACUCGGCCCUAAGAUGAUAGUUUACCUACCCCAUCCUAAAGUAAAAACAAUUAUUUACAGUAUCUGAAAUGACAACUGUCCACACAGGCAGUUUAAAAUUGAUCUCUCAGGCAAAAAUGGAAAACAAAAUUAGGUUGCAGAAGUGACUUCUAACUUAAAAAUAUGAGCAAAAUCUGAUAUACUGACUACUAGAGUUUGAUCCUCAGGUGAUACUGGUUCCUCUCCUAUCAAUAAAAGGUGGGUCAUGGUGAGAUAUUUUUUAUUUUGCUUUUAAGGUUUUGUUUUCAAGUAUAUUAGAUUAAAAGGAUAACUUAAUGAAGUUUUACAUUUCCUUUGAAACAGCAUUACUGUUUGCCUGUAAGUGUUAAGAACGGGUUAAUGAAUAAAGGAAAACAGAACUGACCACUGCUGACUGGGAAGCCCACAUCCCUCCACACUUACCCAAAGGAUCUUACCAGCCGGGAGGCCCUCCCUGGUCUCCAGGGCACACUUCUCUUCUGUGAAGACCUCUAUCAUGCACUACACUGCAUUGUAAUUGCUUACAUAUCUGCUUUCACUAGGAGACUGAGAACUCCUUAAAGGCAAAACCAAUCUUAUUUUUAUUGUCCCUGCACCAAGCACAUAAUGGGAUAUAAUAGCGCUUCAAAACAUGAAGGUGGUACCCAUGUGACUGAUAAGGGAAUUCCGACUAGAACACACAGAGAGAGGAUGGACAUGAGACAAAAUCAGAGUCCUCCCUUUUACUAAGAUAACCCAAACUGUUCAUAUUGCUUUUUCCUUGAGAAGACCAAUGGACAAACUUUACCCGUUUAUAGGAACCCAGAGUUUUUACCUAACAGGGUUAAGUUUGAAAAACAUUUGCGGGGUAGGGAAACACAAAAGAAACACAUAAAGCUUACAGCAUCUUAAGAUGAGUUGUUUGGAUUUCACUGAUAAAAACUUUGUCUCCGUUUAUCUUAUGUAACAUUCUUUCCACUUAAAAACUAACUCCCAUUUUACGGCUGACGAAAUUUAGGUUCACAGAUGCUAAAUGGCUUCCCCAAAUACAGGUAAGCAGUAAAUUAGCUAUGAAAUUCUCUUUAUAGCUCUUUGUGGUUUCAUUUUGAAAAAAAUUAUGUGUAUUAACUAUAUCAAGCAUUUCAGUCAAAAGUCUCUAAGUCACAUUAUAGCACAAGGGUUUUGUUUGGUUCUGAAAACUACCCAAGUCUGGAAAAAUCUUUUUAUGUCAACAGGCAUGGAUGGUAAAUACAUCAGAAGGAAAAUAAUGCAAACUUUGGUCUUUUCAACACACAUUUACUGCUGAAAUUAAAAACUAAUUGGAGUACUUGGGGAGUCUCAAGGUAGUUACUACUGAAAUGAAAUAAGGGAUAAUUCAAAAUGCAUUCACUGACUUUGAAAGCAGACUGAAUUUCACUGCUUCAGAAUAGAGCUGAAACAUCUAACUACCAUUAGAAAGCAGGUAUAUCAAACCACCCUAAGAAUCUCCAAAUUGUCAAAGAGAUAUAAAAGUUUAAGUUAAAAAAAUUAAGAAAAAAAUUAUAGUUCACUAAAUGAUACUGUUUUCCUUUCCCAAACUAUAAUUAUUCAACAUUUGUUAGAAAUCACAUUAUCAGCCAGGCAUGGUGGCUCACACCUAUAAUCUCAACAUUUUGGAAGGCCAAGGUAGGAGGAUAGCUUGAGCUCAGGAAUUUGAGACUAGCCGCCUGGGCCACACAGUGAGAUCUUGUUUCACAAAAAAAUAAAAAAUUAGCUGGGUGUGGUAGUGUGUGCCUGUGGUCCCAGUUACCCAGGAGGCUGAGGUGGGAAGAUCACUUGAGCCAAGGGUGGGGGCCGGGGCACUGAGGCUGCAGUGAGCUGUGACUGUGCCACUGCACUCCAGCCUGGGUGACAGAGUGAGACCCUGUUUCCAAAAAAAA
rnacentral:lncRNA from 10 species